AUGAACAUGCUUCCUGUCACCUGCUCAGUUCUUGUGCUCCUCUUCAUGCUCAGGAGGAGCAAUGGAGACUCAGUGACCCAGACAGAAGGCUUGGUCACUGUCACAGAGGAGUUGCCUGUGAUGCUGAACUGCACCUAUCAGACUAUUUACUCAGAUCCUUCCCUCUUCUGGUAUGUGCAAUAUCUCAACAAAGCCCCUCAGCUGCUCCUGAAGAGCUCCACAGACAAUAAGAGGACAGAGCACCGAGGCUUCCAUGCCACUCUCCACAAGAGCAGCAGCUCCUUCCACCUGCAGACGUCCUCAGUGCAGCUGUCAGACUCUGCCCUGUACUACUGUGCUGUGAGGGACAUAGUGAGGGAGACUGCAGGGGAAGCUGCACACAAACCACAGGUGCAGGAGGCCCAGGGGAGCAGCCCUGUGAGGGAGGCUGUGUGCUUCCUCCAAUGCUGCUCACCAGCUUCCUGA